AUCAGUCACUCAGCUUCAAGCCCAUCAGUUAAGCCCAACUUGAAGCCCAUAAGUCAGUCAGAGACAAAAGCUUCUCAACGGUCUUCUUCUUCAACCUGCAAACAAGACAAAAUCAAUUGUACACAGGCAGCUCAGCUAAAGCAAAAGGAAAAGCACAGCACAGCUGGCAAACCACAGCCUGUCUCUAACAAGAAUCGAUUUGAAGCACUCCAAGACAAUGAAGACCAAUGAAGAAAACCCUAGACUUUUCUAUCUAUAAAUAUGUUAUCAAGUUGUAAUAACAAUCUAAGAAAGCAAUAACAAAGAGCAAAAGACUCACCUUUCUUUCAUAUCUCUGUCUACUUUCAUGGUAUCAGAGCUCUUGGUAGCUCGAUCAUGGAUUUAGAACCUUAUCGCCCUCCCUCUCUCAACAUAAUCCACUGUGUGACUGUCAAGCUCACAGAGGAGAAUUUUUUCUUUUGGAAGCGUCAGUUCCAGUCCUUUCUCAGUGGACAGAGGCUCUAUGGCUUUGUCACUGGUUCCGAGAUUCAGCCCUCUGAGACUCUCAUGGCUCCAACAAUCUCUGGCGUUUCUACCCCCAUUCCAAACCCCGACCAUCCGCUUUGGUUCCAAAAAGACCAAGUUGUCCAAGCGUGGCUUCUUGGUUCCCUCUCCGACUCCAUUCAACACUUGGUUAUGCACUGCUCAACAGCCAAGGAGAUCUGGAGCACCAUCGAAGAGCACUUCAACAAACCCACAAACUCCAGGUUGUUUGAGCUUCAACACAAGAUGCAGACGGUCUCAAAGGCAAAUAAAACCAUGGCUCUCUAUCUUCAGGAGGUCAAGACCAUCAGUGAUCAACUCUCUUCCAUUGGCUCUCCGAUGACAGAAGCGAUGAAGAUUUUUUCUGCUCUCCGAGGCCUUGGUCGUGACUAUGAGCCUAUCAAGACUUCGAUUGAGGGGGCCAUUGAUACUCAUCCUCCUCCAACGUUUGACUCUAUUGUUCCUCGACUGGUGGCCUUUGAUGAUAGACUUCUAAGCUACACCACGAGCCAAGAGGUCUCAUCUCACAUGGCAUUUGCGUCCAUGCGUACAAACUACUCUCGUGGACGUGGAUACAGAGGCAGUGGUGGUAGAGGUCGUGGUUACUCCACCAGAGGCAGAGGCUUUACUCAACAUAUCUCCUCUUCUGAUGGAGACACGCGUCAGUCAUGUCAGAUCUGCGGCAAGACAGGUCACUCUGCUCUCAAGUGCUACCACAGGUUCAACAACAGCUAUCAUGAGGAAGAACUGCCCCAGGCCCUGGCAGCAAUGCGUAUCACUGAUGUGUCAGACGAUGCUGGUUCUGAGUGGUACCCAGACUCCGGUGCUACCAGUCAUGUUACCAACUCCACACGUCAUCUGCAGCAGUCACAACCCUACCACGGAGGUGAUACUGUGAUGAUUGGUGAUGGCAGUUACUUACCUAUCACGCACAAGUGAUCUACUGUUAUUGGUUCCUGUUCAGGUAAACUUCCUCUCAAUGAUGUUGUUGUUUGCCCUCAGAUUGCCAAAUCCCUGCUAUCUGUAUCAAAAGUUACAGCUGAUUAUCCUUGUUCUGUGAAAUUUGAUAAUAUUGGGGUUCGUGUUAAGGACAAGAACACAAAGACGGUACUUACCACAGGAAGAAAGCUUAAUGGGUUGUAUCGGUUGGAGAGCAAGCAGUCAAUAAAGGCUCUCUACUCCUCUAGACAACGUUCGGCUUCAGAUGAAGUUUGGCAUAGGAGAUUGGGUCAUCCUCACCAGCAGCUUCUCCAACAUCUGUCAGCAAAUAAGCGCAUUUCAAUAAGCUCCGUGACCAAGAAGAUGUGUGCAUCAUGUCAGCUUGGGAAGAGUAGUAGAUUACCUUUUCAGUCUUCUAGUUUUGUAGCAAAAAGGCCUUUGGAAAAGGUUCAUUGUGAUUUGUGGGGACCUGCACCAACUAUGUCAGUUCAAGGCUUUAGAUUCUAUGUAAUCUUUGUCGACCAUUGGUCAAGAUACUGUUGGAUCUACCCUAUGAAAUACAAGUCAGAAUUUUAUUCGAUCUUUUGCAAGUUCCAAGCUCUAGUUGAAAACCAACUGAGGUGUAGAAUUGGUACCUUUCAGUGCGACGGUGGCGGUGAAUUUAUCAGUUCUACCUUUCUCGAACACUUGCAAAAAGAUGGAAUCAAGCAGCAGAUGUCCUGUCCCUACACACCUGAGCAGAACGGCUUGGCUGAACGGAAGCAUCGUCACAUCACGGAGCUUGGUCUCUCUAUGAUGUUUGACAGUAAGACACCUUUGAAGUUUUGGGUUGAAGCCUUCUUCACUGCGGUCUUUCUCGCUAAUCUUCUUCCUACAUCAACCCUGCCAAAUCAUCAAACUCCUUAUCAGAAAUUAUUUGGUAAACGUGCUGAGUACACAUUUCUUCGUACCUUUGGUUGUGCUUGCUAUCCUUCUCUGCGUGAUUAUGCUCACAACAAGUUCGAUCCUCGGUCUCUGAAGUGUGUGUUUCUUGGCUACAAUGAUAGAUACAAAGGGUAUCGCUGUCUCUAUCCCCCAACUGGACGUGUUUAUAUUACACGCAAUGCGUUGUUUGAUGAAGAAGAAUUUCCUUUUGCCAAUGUCUACAAGCAAAGCCAUCCUUCAGUUCUAACUCCAUUGCUCAAAGCUUGGCAAAAGAGCUUCAUCCCUACUGCACCGUCUUCUCAAGCUCCUCAGCUUACACCAGUUGAGUCUGUGGUUCUUCAGUCUGAUACAUCUCUGUUUACGGCUGCAGACUUUCCUCCAUUGGUCGCAGCUGCAGCGCCUGUUCCAUUAGAAUCAGCUUCACCAAGUCCUACUCCUUCCUCAGCUUCUGCUCCUUCACCUCAAGAGGUACCUGUUCCACAUCAAGGACACUCAAUGAUCACCAGAGCAAAAGCUGGCAUUGUCAAACCAAACCCACGAUAUGUGUUGCUCACGCAGAAAGUGGCUAUCCCUGAACCACGUUCUGUUGCUGCAACACUUAAUCAUCCUGGUUGGCACAAUGCAAUGCAAGAAGAGUAUGAUACCUGUGAAGAGACGAACACGUUCACUCUUGUGCCUCGCACUCCUGAUAUGCAUGUUCUUGGCUCAGGAUGGGUUCAUCGUGUGAAGCUUAAUGCUGAUGGCACUUUGAACAAGCUUAAGUCUCGCGUGGUGGCAAGCGGUAACGAGCAGGAAGAAGGUGUUGAUUACUUAGAGACCUACAGUCCAGUUGUUAGAAUGGCAUCAGUAAGGACUAUUCUACACAUGGCUACGGUGCUGAAUUGGGAAAUUAAACAAAUGGAUGUUAAGAAUGCGUUCUUACAUGGAGAUCUCCAUGAGAAAGUUUUCAUGAGGCAGCCUUCCGGGUUCGUUGAUAAGCAGAAACCUGAUCAUGUAUGGAGUCUCAACAAGGCUAUCUACGGAUUGAAACAGGCUCCCCGAGCCUGGUUCGACAAGUUCAGCACCUUCCUUAUCGAUUUUGGAUUCCGCUGCUUCAAGUCUGAUCCCUCCCUGUUUGUCUACACCACAGAAAAAGACAUCAUCAUCUUAAUGUUGUAUGUAGAUGACAUGGUGGUGACAGGGAAUAGUUCUGAAGUACUCUCGAAGCUACUUCAACAACUUAACAAGGAGUUUCGUAUGAAGGACCUGGGAAUGAUUCACUAUUUUCUCGGCAUUCAGGUUCAGAGUCAUGAUAAAGGCUUGUUCCUAUGUCAACAGAAGUAUGCUGAGGACUUACUUGCUGUUGCUUCGAUGUCUGAUUGCUCUUCCAUGCCAACUCCUCUUCCCCUGCAGCUCAACAAGGUACAGGAUCAAGGUGUGCCGUUCUCUAAUCCUACCUACUUCAGAAGUCUCGCAGGGAAGUUACAGUAUCUUACCUUGACGCGACCAAACAUUCAAUUCGCUGUCAACUAUGUAUGUCAGAAGAUGCAUGCUCCGACAGUAUCUGAUUUCACUCUCCUGAAAAGAAUACUCAGAUAUGUCAAAGGCACACUGACGAUGGGAAUUUCACUUCACAAAGAUACUGAUUUCACUCUCACCGCUUAUAGCGACAGUGACUGGGCAGGAUGCAACAUCACUCGUCGAUCCACUGGUGGGUUCAGCACAUUUCUCGGUAAAAAUCUAAUCUCCUGGUCCUCUCGCAAACAACCUACGGUAUCUAAGAGUUCAACUGAAGCAGAGUAUCGCACCUUAUCAGAAACAGCUUCAGAGAUUACCUGGUUAUGCUCGAUCUUCCGUGAGUUGGGAAUUCCGCUUCUUACAACUCCUCUGCUGCUGUGUUAUAAUCUGUCAGCAGUCUUGCUCUCUGCGAAUCCUUCAUUUCACUCACGCACCAAGCACUUCGCUCUUGACUAUCACUAUGUCAGAGAACGAGUUGCCUUGGGAGCCUUGGAGGUGAAACACAUUCCGAAUCAUCAACAGAUUGCUGACAUCUUCACCAAAUCACUACCACUUGAAGCUUUCUCGACUCUUCGUGGCAAACUCGGUGUCGACUCGAUCGCCACACCUAGUUUGAGGGGGCCUAUCAGUCACUCAGCUUCAAGCCCAUCAGUUAAGCCCAACUUGAAGCCCAUAAGUCAGUCAGAGACAAAAGCUUCUCAACGGUCUUCUUCUUCAACCUGCAAACAAGACAAAAUCAAUUGUACACAGGCAGCUCAGCUAAAGCAAAAGGAAAAGUACAGCACAGCUGGCAAACCACAGCCUGUCUCUAACAAGAAUCGAUUUGAAGCACUCCAAGACAAUGAAGACCAAUGAAGAAAACCCUAGACUUUUCUAUCUAUAAAUAUGUUAUCAAGUUGUAAUAACAAUCUAAGAAAGCAAUAACAAAGAGCAAAAGACUCACCUUUCUUUCA
rnacentral:lncRNA from 1 species